rnacentral:rRNA from 1 species
GUGGGUGAUCUGCCCUGCACUCUGGGAUAAGCCUGGGAAACUGGGUCUAAUACCGGAUAGGACCAUGCUUUAGUGUGUGUGGUGGAAAGUUUUUCGGUGUAGGAUGAGCCCGCGGCCUAUCAGCUUGUUGGUGGGGUAAUGGCCUACCAAGGCGGCGACGGGUAGCCGGACUGAGAGGUUGGUCGGCCACAUUGGGACUGAGAUACGGCCCAG